rnacentral:rRNA from 1 species
GAUGAAGAACGUAGUAAAAUGCGAUAAGUAAUGUGAAUUGCAGAAUUCAGUGAAUCAUCGAAUCUUUGAACGCACCUUGCGCCCUUUGGCUAUUCUGAAGGGCAUGCCUGUUUGAGUAUCAUGAACACCUCAACUCUCACGGUUUUCUGUGACGAGCUUGGACUUUGGGGGUCUUUGCUGGCCUGUGGUCAGCUCCUCUAAAAUGAAUCAGCUUUCCAGUGUUUGGUGGCAUCACAGGUGUGAUAACUAUCCGCGCUUGUGGUUCCCCCGCCAGGUAACCUUUGGUAACAAAGGUUCGCUGGGGCUCAUAAAUGUCUUUCCUCGGUGAGGACAGCUUUUUGAACGUUUGAUCUCAAAUCAGGUAGGACUACCCGCUGAACUUAA